CCAGUGGCUAAUGUCACCCAGCCUGCACUGGGUGACCCUUCAACUUCCCCAGGCAAGAAACAGGCAUGAUUGGAGUCCUGAGACAGAUCUGUCACAGAGGUCAGGCUACCAGAGAGCAGGAAGUGCAUGCUGUUUACAUGUAGGGAAGUUCGCUCUCUCAGGAGGGCUCUGUGGUGCAGGCUGGCCAAGUCUAUUCUGAAGGGCAACAGGAAGAGUCCCUUCACUGUUAGUCAGGAGAGCUCACAGUGCUCAGCCUGUGCCGACAUUGCAGAGGCUGUGGCAGAGCCACAGAGGAGCGGUGUAGACAUACCCCUGGGCUUCGUAUGCUUCAAGUUCAUGAGGUAAACACCACUGUCACCUGCCAUACAGAUGGGCGUGGCUUCAAAAAAGCAGAUUGAGCUCGAGGCUGAUAGGUUCUGCCCAGCUGGAGCUCACUGCCUGACCCUUGGCCAGUGUCAGCCGCCCAGUGCUAGUUCUUCACGCCUGCCACAGCAUCAGCUAUUAGUCUCUGGUUUCCACAUGAACCAGAGCUUCAGAUGCAAGGUUGUGACACAAAGGGAGAGUUUCCUGCCGCUCUGAAGCCAGCACUCGGUCCCUGGCAGUGCUGGGCUCCGCCGGGCAGAGCAGUCUGCAUCUACAGAGCUGUUCUCAGCCACCAUGCUGACUCCACCAGGAGACAAGGCAUCUUCUCAGCUGGGACGAAGGUGUAUAUGUAUGCCUGAGUCUAUAUCUGUGCACUAUAUACAUGCAGAGGUCAGAAGAGGGCACUGGCUCCCUGCGUAUUGGAGUUAAAGGGAGUUGUAAGCCUCCAUAUGGAUGCUAGGAGCCUUGUCCCAGUCCUCUGCAAGAGCAACAAGUGCUCUUAACCACGGAGUCAUCUCUUCUGCAUGUCAACAACAUAACUCCGGCAACAGCAAGCCUACAGAGAAGAAAGCAAGAGUCUGCCUUUGCAGGGGCAGCUGCUGGAGACACACACCUGUAUCUAGGAUGGUUGGCCAGGUCCGGACAUCGACAGCGGCAGCUGCUUCUUUGGACUUGAGCAGCCGUGUAAUGGCCUGUGUGCUGAGGACACAUGCGGAUUUGCUGACCUAUAGCACAGGGAAGCAAGAGCCGGAGAUACAACUGUACUUCAAAUUCCAGCUCUGCUCACAGCAGCCGGCGACAGUAGCUGCCCCUCCCCCCUCCCUUGAUCUGAGAUGCUGCGGAAUGGUGAGAGUCUAGCUCUAGAGGAUGGGCCUGGACACCUGCUACCCUGACAGCCAAGAAGCUGCCAAGUCCACCAGGAACAGUGGUCCCAACCAAAGGGAUAACAGGGGCACUAAGGUCACAAGAGCAGGGAGGGGCUGAGCUCCAUUGCGGAAGGCCAGGAGAGCCUUGGGUGCGCUCACCUGGAGGAU